rnacentral:lncRNA from 1 species
UGGGCUCAAAUGAGAGAGUUCCAAGUCCAAGUUUUUUCUAUUAUAUUUUAUUUAUUUUUUUAUUUUUUUUUAUUUUUUUUAUUUUUUUUAUUUUUUUUUUCUUGGAUCUAAUUCUGAUUGACAUGAUGAAAUGCAAUAUGAAAUGCUAAAUGAAUGCAUGAAUGAGGAGGGAAAAUUUUGGGGUGUUACAGUACCAUCUUAAAAAAGAUUAGGAUCAAAACGUCGUAGUUCGGGGUAAAAAUCUCAAAACAAGUUGGUGAAUUGAUUGGGUCCAAAAGCCUUAAGGUCUUUUGUUAUCCAAGGGAGAAAACUCAACCUAAAAAACCACAAAUCCACCAUGUGAGGAUAGCUUCAACAUGCUAGUGAGGGGUU